GCGAUCGAACAAGGCAAAAAGGAGAAGGGGAAACCCUAGUUCAAGAAAAUCAAGCAAUUCAAUCCAAAUUCAUAAGCUAAUUCGGUGCAUGGCCCCUAAAUUGUGAAUUGCUAACCCUAAUCUCUUAAGUGGCGUAAAAGAAGAAGGCACAAGCACCAAGAAAACGGAAGGAGCGCAAGAUCGAGGUAAAGCACCUCUAUAGGCGAUUUGGAGAUAUGGAGCGAGCACAUGUUCAAGCCUCAUUAAACCAAGCGCUUCCGCAAGUUUACAUGCAUGUUUUUGGGUCUACGUUUUUGUUACUUGUUAAACUUUGUUAAAAGUUUUAGAUUUGAAAACUUGUUGUUUUGUUUGGGAUGGUUUAGUGUAAAAAGGGUCUUAUGUGAACGUUGUCUAUUAUGUCAAAAACAGGGGUGACGUCCGUUUUACGAACGGGUCAUGCCCAAUUUUUGUAAAA